rnacentral:rRNA from 1 species
CCUACGGGAGGCAGCAGUGAGGAAUAUUGGUCAAUGGACGAGAGUCUGAACCAGCCAAGUAGCGUGAAGGAUGAAUGCCCUAUGGUUUGUAAACUUCUUUUAUAUGGGAAUAAAAUGUUCCACGUGUGGGAUUUUGUAUGUACCAUAUGAAUAAGGAUCGGCUAACUCCGUGCCAGCAGCCGCGGUAAUACGGAGGAUCCGAGCGUUAUCCGGAUUUAUUGGGUUUAAAGGGAGCGUAGGUGGAUUGUUAAGUCAGUUGUGAAAGUUUGCGGCUCAACCGUAAAAUUGCAGUUGAAACUGGCAGACUUGAGUACAGUAGAGGUGGGCGGAAUGCGUGGUGUAGCGGUGAAAUGCUUAGAUAUCACGAAGAACUCCGAUUGCGAAGGCAGCUCACUGGACUGCAACUGACACUGAGGCUUGAAAGUGUGGGUAUCAAACAGGAUUAGAGACCCUGGUAGUC